UACGAAGGGGGCUAGCGUUGUUCGGAAUCACUGGGCGUAAAGGGCGCGUAGGCGGCCUGAUAAGUCGGGGGUGAAAGCCUGUGGCUCAACCACAGAAUGGCCCUCGAUACUGGACGGCUCGAGACCGGAAGAGGUUGGUGGAAUUGCGAGUGUAGAGGUGAAAUUCGUAGAUAUUCGCAAGAACACCGGUGGCGAAGGCGGCCAACUGGUCCGGAUCUGACGCUGAGGCGCGAAAGCGUGGGGAGCAAACAGG
rnacentral:rRNA from 1 species